GAAGAUACACAUAAAUACUAUCUGAAUGCAAGGGGUCAGGAAGAACCUUUCUGAUGGGCUAUUCAGAAAGGUUUCAUGGGGGUAGUAUGAUCUAGGCCCUAAAAGAGCUUCUCACAAAGAGAGAAGUAGAAGAAAAGCCUUCAAGACAGCAUGAAUAGAAACACUGAGCCAGAAAAGAACAAAGUUAAUCCAUUUGUUCACUUCUCUCUUUAAAAGAAAAUGAGUGGGGACCAUGCAAGAUACCAGCCUCCUUUUGACUAUGGGCUACUGCUGGAGGAAGAAGCCCCGCUAUCCCGGAAGAGCUCAAGGAGGGGAUGGAUACUUGAAGACUUGGAGCAAGAGCUCACAGAACUAGGCAUUCCCUUAGGUAACCCACCAGGACUGGAUCCAAGUGGGCAAAGACGUGAUGUCGACUCUUUUCUACCACCUAUUUUUGCUCCCUGUUUUUGUGGAUGUGUCCUGAGAUCAAAGUCUGUGCUGAACUCCCGCCCCUCUUCAGCCACUUCCCGAGCCACCACCCCCGAAUCAGGACCUACCAUGGUCCAACCACCAACUAGGUUUGCAACUCCAUCGGGUUUUCACACAACAACCCAGACUGGAUCUCCAGCUCCUCCUUCUGGGAGGAGAUCUCAAGCUCCGAGAAACCCUCCACCCAUACGACAAUUAGUCCCACUGCCUGUUUGGCCCCAACCCUUUCAUUUUACCAUCCCUAAGACCAAUCCUCCAAGGGUUCACAACCCUCCUAUUGAAUGUCUAGGUUCCAGCUUUCCGAGGUGGAGAAAGAAAAAACAGUCCUCUUUGCCUUCUCCUUCUCCUAUCUUCAAUCCCCUUAAAAUAAAGUGUAGUAUUUGAUGCAA